AAUCCCUGUAGUAUCUCAGGCUUUGAUCGGC
rnacentral:piRNA from 1 species